rnacentral:rRNA from 1 species
CGCGUAGGUGGUAGUGCAAGUCUGAGGUGGAAUCUUAGGGCUUAACCCUAAAAUUGCCUUGGAAACUGCAUUACUUGAGUCAGUGAGGGGAGGGUAGAAUUCCUGGUGUAGCGGUGAAAUGCGUAGAUAUCAGGAGGAAGGCCGGUGGCGAAGGCGGCCCUCUGGCGCUGAACUGACACUGAGGCGCGAAAGCGUGGGGAGCAAACAGGAUUAGAUACCCUGGUAGUCCACGCCCUAAACGGUGGGUACUAGGUGUAGGGCUCGUAAGGGUUCUGUGCCGAAGCGAAAGCAUUAAGUACCCCGCCUGGGGAGUACGGCCACAAGGUUGAA